rnacentral:lncRNA from 1 species
CAGCUUCUGAGCUGCAACACAAAAGCCUCAAGGAAACCUUUCUUUCCUGUUACUUACACUCAGAAAUGGAAUUUUGUUGAUGAGUAAUCAGCAAAUAUGAGAGAAAAUCUAGUGAGAAACAGUGUAAUUCCAUAGUUCAGAGAACUGCAUCAGGAACUCCAAGGGUGAUUAGCUGUGAUGGAAGCAGCCAUACUGAAGACAACAAGGGUACAGUGCAACAGGCUCAGCAUCACCCACAGGCAUUAGUAAAUCAUGGUAUCAGAAACAUGGAAAAUCUUCAGUUGGUAAAAACUCACAAGCAGGAAAGCCUGAAUCUCAACCUCAUUUCAGUCAGUGCCAGCCAAAGCAGCCACUGUUUGGGAGUGCUGGGGCAGAGCUGAUCCCUGUGCCAGGGCUGCAAUCAUUGGGUGCUGGCAGAGAAAUGUUCCCUUGAAUUGUGACACAGCCAUUUUCAUCUCACAGGAUGAGAUACAGGAGAGGUCAGUGUAAUCACCAUAACCUACUCC